GGGGCGAUGGGCAGCGGGUGGGAACUCCGGGGGCGCUCGGGGCGUUCCCGGGGUGGGACGGUGACGCUCGGGCCGUUGUCGCCGACC
rnacentral:tRNA from 1 species